rnacentral:rRNA from 1 species
UGGGGAAUUUUGGACAAUGGGCGAAAGCCUGAUCCAGCAAUGCCGCGUGUGUGAAGAAGGCCUUCGGGUUGUAAAGCACUUUUGUCCGGAAAGAAAUCCUUGGCUCUAAUACAGUCGGGGGAUGACGGUACCGGAAGAAUAAGCACCGGCUAACUACGUGCCAGCAGCCGCGGUAAUACGUAGGGUGCAAGCGUUAAUCGGAAUUACUGGGCGUAAAGCGUGCGCAGGCGGUUUGCUAAGACCGAUGUGAAACCCCGGCUCAACCUGGGAACUGCAUUGGUGACUGGCAGGCUAGAGUAUGGCAGAGGGGGGUAGAAUUCCACGUGUAGCAGUGAAAUGCGUAGAGAUGUGGAGAAUACCGAUGGCGAAGGCAGCCCCCUGGGCCAAUACUGACGCUCAUGCACGAAAGCGUGGGGAGCAAACAGGAUUAGAUACCCCUGGUAGUCCACGCCCUAAACGAUGUCAACUAGUUGUUGGGGAUUCAUUUCCUUAGUAACGUAGCUAACGCGUGAAGUUGACCGCCUGGGGAGUACGGUCGCAAGAUUAAAACUCAAAU